rnacentral:rRNA from 1 species
AGUGAACGCUGGCGGUAGGCCUAACACAUGCAAGUCGAACGGCAGCACAGGAGAGCUUGCUCUCUGGGUGGCGAGUGGCGGACGGGUGAGGAAUACAUCGGAAUCUACUCUGUCGUGGGGGAUAACGUAGGGAAACUUACGCUAAUACCGCAUACGACCUACGGGUGAAGGCAGGGGACCCUCGGGCCUUGCGCGAUUGAAUGAGCCGAUGUCGGAUUAGCUAGUUGGCGGGGUAAAGGCCCACCAAGGCGACGAUCCGUAGCUGGUCUGAGAGGAUGAUCAGCCACACUGGAACUGAGACACGGUCCAGACUCCUACGGGAGGCAGCAGUGGGGAAUAUUGGACAAUGGGCGCAAGCCUGAUCCAGCCAUACCGCGUGGGUGAAGAAGGCCUUCGGGUUGUAAAACCCUUUUGUUGGGAAAGAAAUCCAGCUGGCUAAUACCCGGUUGGGGUGACGGUACCCAAAGAAUAAGCACCGGCUAACUUCGUGCCAGCCGCCGCCGUAA